UAUUCGUCGCUUGUAUUGGCAUUUAUGGUCUGUUUUUUGAUGCCAGAGUAAAACUUAGUGGUUAGAAUUUAGAAUUGGACACGACGAAUUAGCAAAACUUUAUUAUAGACUUUAUUAUUAUUAUUAUUAUUAUUAUUCUCAAUAUACAGUGUGUCGCAUUUUUUGGCAAGUUUUGCAUUGUCACAAAUCCACAAACAUCUUUCGCACUUACGUUAGAAAUAUCGAAAAUUCCGAAUAUUAUUCUAACCCCACCUGCCAUGACCUUUUUAGUUUUUUUUCAAUAUUUUGGUCCUUUUUUAUUUAAUAAAUCAUUAAAUCCUGGUCGUUUAGAUAAUUAUGGAUACUAUAGAAAAUGUUCCUCCCAAUGUAUGACACCUCCCCUUGGAUGGUCUAUCCAUUCACAAUUCAAGGAUUGUUUGUCAACGGUUAAAACAAAAAUUUCCAAUGCCCUGGGUAGGAAAAAAUGGUUCUUUUGAAAAUUGAUCUCCGAGAUCUCCUGAUUUGCAGAGAUAUCGAGAUCAACUUUGAGUCAGAAUAAGACAAGCCUGUCAAGUAAUUAACAUAACAGACGAGUAUCCAGCCAGAUUCUAAAUAAUUGAAAAAUGUAUUUGAAUAAAUGAUAUAAAUAAAAAUUAAUAUAACAAUAUUUUCUACAAAUAAAAUAAUUAUUCCUUCGUGUUAGUGUUAUGUAUUUUACUGAAGAAUCUAAAUUACAUGAAUUACAGUACCAAAUUAACUGGUUCUGAAAGUUAAGUGUUAAGUUAAACUGCUAAUACAGUAUCGGCCUUUUAAAAUUAGGACAAAAAUAAAUCAGAUUCAGAAAGAGUCAGAAAUGCAAAACAAAACCGAAUUAAAGUAAGGUUAUGUUGGAUGGAUGAUGCAAUAUAUUUCUUUAGUUAUCCUCUUUCUUUUGUGUGGCCCUUAUAUGAUGUAAUUACCAUAAUUUAGGUUAAGCUAAUUGUAUCCCUAAUAAGUUUGGUCGAUUUUUAGAUCUGAUAUUUAUGAGUUUUUUGUAUUUUACAGAGCAUCACCUGGCUUAUGAAAUUAUGUUGCCUAUUGAUUGUGAUGUUGGUUUAAAGUAUGAUGUCUUUUAUUAUGAUUUUAGAAAUUGUAACUUUAAUGCAAUGACAGACAGAUAACAAUCUGGUAUACCAUGGGAGGGUGCACUUGACCCGCAGGAUGUUUACAGAUGUGUCGAUUUUUUCUAUAGUGCGAUUGAGAUGUUUGUUCCUGUUAAGCGAUUUAAGUCUUCAAAUUUCCCUGCAUGAUUUAGUCGUGAACUUCAGAACUCAAUUGUUAUGGAAAACUGCGUGUACAAAAUCCAAGCCAAAACUAACAACGUUGAUGAUUAUCUUUAUUUCUGUGGCUUAAGGCACUGCGUAGUGAGUGCUAUGGUGCAUAUAUAACUUGAAUUAGUGAGGAUGUCACGUAUGACCCAAAAUCUUUUUGGAAACAUGUAAAUAGUUUGCGAAGGUCAAAUGCAUAUCCCGGUAAUAUGUAUUUGGGUGGAUGAUGAGGUUGCCGACUGUGGUCAGGAUAUUGUUGACUUGUUUGCAAAGUUCUCUGCUUAUUAUAUUUUUAACUAUAGUUUAGACUUCAAUUCCAUGAGUGUUUCACUUACUGAUGUGUUUGAGAGUAUUAUGGACUUACAGACUGCAUUUUAGCAAGGCCCGGACGGGAUUCCAUCAGUCUUGAUUAGGAAUUGUAUUUUUGGUAUUUGGUACCGUUUCACAAGAAUGGUGAUAAAAGCGAUGUCGGUAAUUAUAGAGGCGUUUGCAUACAGUGGGUGGUUCCUAAACUGCUUGACAGGUUAUUUUGUGAGAGACUUUUGUGGCAUUGCAGGGGAAUUCUGGCCGAUCAACAGCAUGGAUUUGUACAGGGUCGAUCUACCGUAACAAAUUUACUUACCUACCAACAAUUUUAUUGAACGCCUUUGAGGAGUUUGGUCAGGUGGAUUGUGUCUGCACGGAUUUCUCGAAGACUUUUCACCGGGUGGGUUAUGUGCAUCUUGUCUCUAAGCUUAGAGCUAUGGGCCUGGGGGCUGGGCUGGUGCAAUGGAUUCAGUGUUUUCUAUCUGGUCGUACUCAGUUUUUUAGUAUUAAUAAUUAUGUCUCAGGUAAAAUUAAUAUUUCUUCAAGAGUCUCCCAAGGUUCCCAUACGGAAUCCAUCCUUUCUAACAUGUUUAUAAAUGAUAUGGUUAGUGUACUUUCGGAAUCGCAGUGUCUUUUGUUUGCAGAUUAUUUGAAGAUAUUCAGGAGGGUUGGAUCGCGCGAGGAUGCUCUGCUGCUUAGAGAGACGUGGACAGUGUUUGUGGUCCAAGACAAGUUUGUGACACAUUUUGCGGAAGCAGUAAACAGGUCUAUG